AGGGAAUGACUAAUGCUUAAAGCCACGCAUUACACCAAGGUUUACCAGGCAGAGCAAAUAAAUGGUCAUCUGAGACAUGCUUUCAAGCAGAGAUCUCUGUUCUUGGCAUGAAGGUUAAGCCCUACAGAGGAGUUUGAAAUUCUUGCUUCAGGCCAUAUGGAGUGGAUAUUCCUUCCAGAAGGAAAUUACAGACCACUCUCUGUUUCUACUCAACUGCUUUUCACUCCGGAUGCUUCACCUCUUGGGGCCUUCCCCAACAGAGGCCCAGGAUCACCUGCAAAAGGCUUCCCCAAGGGUGGGGCCAGAAGCAGGGCUGCAGAUAUGUGUCCUGAACCUCCCAUGGACCCUGCUGGCUCCCUUCAAAGGCUUCGGGCAUAGCGACUUGCCUUUCCGUCUUGUUCAGUCGUCACCAGUCAGCCGUCUGCAGACUUCUCUCCCUCACGUUGUGGCAGAGGAGUUGUACAUUCUCUAG
rnacentral:lncRNA from 1 species